ensembl:lncRNA
UGAGCAGUGAGUCAGUGACCUUCUCCUAACAAGCCCCUGCAUCUCUGCCCGGAGACCCCUGCUGGCAAUGGGAGGGUGCUUUGAGGUCCAAUCAGACUGAAGGACAGACAGCACUAAUGUGCUGGGCGCUGAGGGCAUUGGAGAUGGUGUGAGGGAGGUGAGCCUUCACACCACUACCACCAACACUGUCAGAUCCUUCACGUCAAACCCUCACUCCAUGCAUCUGAGUCACCCCAAAGCAAUCGGCUAGGUUUGAGGUGUGGGCUAUGUUACAUUCGGCUAGGUUUGAGGUGUGGGCUAUGUUACAUUCGGCUAGGUUUGAGGUGUGGGCUAUGUUACAUUCGGCUAGGUUUGAGGUGUGGGCUAUGUUACUUUCGGCUAGGUUUGAGGUGUGGGCUAUGUUACAAUCAGCUAGGUUUGAGGUGUGGGCUAUGUUUAUGAGACGAGCGUGUUUUUGGACUGCAGGGGUCCCGUGUCUGAAGGGAGGGAAGGAUGGCAGGAAAGAAAGUAAGGAAGGAAGGAA